rnacentral:rRNA from 1 species
UGAGGAAUAUUGGUCAAUGGACGCAAGUCUGAACCAGCCAAGCAGCGUGCAGGAUGACGGCCCUAUGGGUUGUAAACUGCUUUUAUAGGGGGAUAAAUGGGGGAACGUGUUCCCUUUUGCAGGUACCAUAUGAAUAAGGACCGGGUAAUUACGUGCCAGCAGCCGCGGUAAUACGGAAGGUUCGGGCGUUAUCCGGAUUUAUUGGGUUUAAAGGGGGCGUAGGCCGUUUGGUAAGCGUGUUGUGAAAUGUAGGAGCUCAACUUCUAGAUUGCAGCGCGAACUGUCAGACUUGAGUGCGCACAACGUAGGCGGAAUUCAUGGUGUAGCGGUGAAAUGCUUAGAUAUCAUGAAGAACUCCGAUUGCGAAGGCAGCUUACGGGAGCGCAACUGACGCUGAAGCUCGAAGGUGCGGGUAUCGAACAGG